ensembl:lncRNA
GUCAUGUGUGUCAAAGCCAAGCUCUCCAGCGAAUCUCUGUGUUCUGCAGUCUGGGUUUUGCAAUCUGUGUUGUGUGUUCUGACCUGCCUAGAUCUCACUGUUUAUAUGCUUGGAUUCUCCGCCAAGCACCCUUUUGGAUUUGAUUGCCUGUCUGACUGAUUUCCUGGUUUUGAUCCAGCCAGUCUACCGAGGAAACACACUUUGCCUGAACUGUGUGCGUGUCAUGCUUUUGGGUCCGAGUCAGUGCUUAAGCCUUACAGUCAGUCUCUUGAAAAAGACAAAUGUGACUGCCUGCUUGAAGUAAAGUAAUACAAUAAACUAAUGUGUUGGUUUCAGGCCAUAGCUUCGGAGAGCUAAGAUGUUACUUGUCACAUCAACAACCAUUAGAGACUGUGCCUACAACAAAACGAGCCAUAAAUUUCCUCCAUCAUGCACUCUUUCUCACCGCGGUCACCAGGGACUCCAUCUCUACAAAGCACAGCCACUAUAGUGACGUGAACGGGACACCCGGGGGGAUGUGUAGAGUCUGCAUGCAGCGUUUUCUGCCACUCGUGUCCCCGGGUAACUUCACUUCCUGGUCCAGUCAUCCCCUGUGAUCGUCGGAUUGUGUCCAAUCACCUGCACCUCCCUUGUGUAUUUAAGCAGUGUGUGUUGUUUGUCACUUGUGGCGUCAUUGUCUCUUGUCAC